AGGACUGAGCCUGCAGGUCACAUGACCCUCCACCAUGUGACCAGCUCUGAUAAAGGCCUCUACAGGUGUAGCAUCAUCGGUCAUGGAGAGUCUCCAUCCAGCAGGAUCUCUGUCUCAGCUCCACCCACCAGUGAAGCUCUACCUUCUACCUCAGCCUCCCUCCAGGUCAGGCUGGCCUGCCACCUGGUGGUCUUCUGUCCGUACUUCAUCUCCACUCUCCUCCUGGUGUCUCUAUAACAGCACAAAUUCUCAGGACGUGAUGUGCCAGUGUCUCCAGCAAUGACUCCACCCAUCCAGGCUGAGCAGAGAUUGAAUGAUGUUUAUGAUGAAGUGUCAGAGAAUAAUUUCUGAAUAAAACUAAUUAUUUUUUGAUUGAAAAAA